CUCUUUGCGUUAAAACGAAAUAAUUAUAGUAUUAUCGCCAUGCGUGUUAUCUUGUGGAUUGCAUUGGUCUUGACCACUGUUGUGACCGUCUCUGGACAAAGGAAUUGGUGACCUUGGCCACGAGUAGGAGGCAUGCAAAAUCCAAGAUGCGUUAGUUGCACAGAGGUUAAAGAGGCUCAUUUGUGUGAAAACUGCUGCAAAGUGUCCGUGUGUGAUCCGGAUCCUUGUAAUAGUGAUGGUAUGUGUUCACCAGCCGAUAACGGUUACAUCUGUAGUUGUACCCCUGGGUAUUUAGGAGAAAACUGUGACGUGAACGUGUGUCUACCUAACCCAUGUAAAAAUGAUGGUACUUGUUCACCAGUUGAUAACGGUUACAGCUGUAAUUGUACUACAGGAUAUUUAGGAAAAAACUGACGUUAUAACAUCACCGAAUUACCCCCAAUUUUAUUCAACUAGAUUUAAGCAGUGCUAUCAUAUAAUUGACCGACCCGGACAGAAUAUCACCUUAACUCUUGACGCACAGUAUGGUCUUGAAAAGUAAUUCUUUUGCAAUGGUUAACUGUUUACUGGCGGAAAUUGUUCUGAUUAUCUAAAGCUUCAGGGAGUAAGAUGUUUAAAGCCAAGACAUUAAGAGAUGUAUACAGUCAAGAUAUCAACAGUAAGACAGUCGUGUUGUAUUCUUCAUAAACAAAUAUAGCCAUCAACACAUGAAUUGUUAACUCUAUGUUAUGACUAUAUCCAAAUUAAUCUAAAUUCACUUAAAUAACAAAACUAAACACAUUCUUUGAACUGACCAAUAACCUAAAUAAACAGUUCUUACUGUUA